GGCAGCCGUUAGCCUCGGCCUCGGCCGGAGGCGUGUCGCCCCUUGGAGCUGUUCCCUUGGGAGACCCCCGUCCCCUGCCUGCGCAGGAGCAGGUUUGGUAUGUCUCCGUGAAGCACUUGGCCUGACAGGAGUUCAAGGUUGCUUCAGGAUGCCCGCAAUAUGUCAUCCUGCAUGUGUACUACUGACACAGCUCUUUCACAGCGUGCGUGUGAUCCUUGAUCACUGUUUCUAAUAUGAGAUGACUUGGAACAGUAACCAAGAAAAAAUACUGUUUUCUUCACUGAAAGUAUAAAUGAAAGUAGUUGCUGUCUGCAUCACCUAAUUGUCUCCACUCUCAGCAGGAAUGGAAAAUAGCCCACGCUCUCGCCAAGGGAUCCAGCAAAGCUUCCAGGACACGAACAAAGAGACACCAAACAGAGCAAGACCACAGGCUGUGACAACUAAGG